UACGAAGGACCCGAGCGUUAUCCGGAUUUACUGGGCUUAAAGGGUGCGUAGGUGGGUCUGUAAGUCAGUGGUGAAAUCUCCGAGCUUAACUCGGAAACUGCCAUUGAUACUAUAGAUCUUGAAUUAUCUGGAGGUAAGCGGAAUAUGUCAUGUAGCGGUGAAAUGCUUAGAUAUGACAUAGAACACCAAUUGCGAAGGCAGCUUACUACGGAUCGAUUGACACUGAGGCACGAAAGCGUGGGGAGCAAACAGG
rnacentral:rRNA from 1 species